UGUCAAGAGGACUCAUUAGCUUUGCUAAAGUUUCUAGCUGAACAAGGACAUAAAGUAAGUAAAAAGAAACUACAGCUUUGUAAAGAGACAGUAAAAUAUUUAGGUUAUUGUCUAUCAGCAGAGGGGCGACACUUAGAUGAAGAGAGAAAAACAGCUAUUUUACAAGCACCAAAAAGCAGAUGAGGAAGCUAAAAAAGCAGUGUGAACCCAUGUAGAUGCGUUUGCUGUAAACACAGUAAAAGUCACACACAUAGACCAUGAUAUCUUGAAAGAUAUGCAGACAACAUCGCCUAGAGCAAAACAUAACCCCCCCCCCCAUUUCAUUAGCUCUAGCAUUAGCAACUAGCUUGUUGGCAUUGUUCACUGAUGAAUGAUGAUAAUAAAAUGUAAAAAAGUGAGAACUUUCUAAAUGCACUGUAUGUGUAACUGAUUGAUCUGUCCAACAGCCAUCUCUAGUAUUCUUUCCCAACAGGUGCUUCCCACCAGGGAGUUUCUCUAGGAUGAAGUGUAAUUCAGUUUAUGUUCUUACAGCUGCUUUCACACCACUGCUGUGUCUGUACUAAAAUCACACACAAAUAUUAACAUUAACAUUUGAAACCUUUCUCUCUCUCUCUCUCUCUCUCUCUCUCCCUCUCUCCCUCCAGGUGACAAAGAAGCUCGCUGGUGCUGCUUCUGAAACAGUUGCCUGGGUUACCGAUGUUGGUGUGUUGGAUUGAUAACGCCACAUCUUGUCACAUUGAGGCAUAGCAUUCCCAGCUAGAGGGGAAGCGCGGGAUGCUCGGCCUGACUGGUGCCAAGGUGAUCCAGAGGAUCUCCUGGGAGGAGCGGAGGCUCCGCUGUUGGAGGAGGACACAUGGGGCAGAGGAGACGGUCCUCCUCAUCCAGGAUCUCCACGUCACCCUGGACGUCUCUUUGCUGGAUUCUCUCUGCAUCCAGGACAUAUGGAGACACAGAGAAGCCACCUCAGCUGCAUUCAGGGCCCACCAGGUGUGCAGCUGUACCUAGAGACUGGUAGACUGACAAAGGGCGGGGUCAGCCUUCCGACUUCCACCUUAACCAGUUCAUCCCAGGUACAUGCGUGUGUCUCUUUCAUGCAAACAUAAAAUUCAUUUUUGAUCCAAAACCUUUUUCCUCAAGCCAGUGCCAAGUACUUCCAAGCUCCUGGCAACACCUGCCAGACAAAGCAGGAGGAAUAGCGAGUUGUCUUCCCUCCCAGAUACCAGGAGAGGCAGCCCAGGUGACAGUUCAAGGCAGCAACGGGGAAGAACACCUCCUGUCCUGGGAAGGAGAGUCUCCAGAGCUGUCUUCUUGGACUAAACUCGGGCCCUGCAAACUAGGCCAGUGUUAGCCGCCUGGUGGAGGCCGUUUGCAACCGGCUCUGCUGUCUUCACCCGGUGGCCAAGUGGUCCAGAGGGACCGUGAGGACUCGGUGGUCAUUCGUUCUCAAGGAUUAUGUGGCCAUCAGAAAGGCAGUGCUGGCCGACCCGAGGUUGAUGGCUCAGACCAACAUCCGGCUCUUUGAAUUGAAUUGAGGACUCAGUGGUGCUGGCCAGACUCUCCCUUCAGCAAAAGUCCUGUCCUUGGUCCAGGUGGGACAAGGACAGCCCUUUAACUUCAAAGUCCCGGAGGAGCAGCCUGGGCCCUCCAGCAGGGGUCUGCCUCCUCCUCCUCCUCCUCCUCCUCCUCCUCCAGACGAUGAACAGCAUGGCCCCUCAUCCAGUGCUGUUGGUGCUGAGGAGGUCGUGGACAGUGGCUACUGCUGAAAAAGUACAUAUAUUCAAAGAUGACAAAGACGGUAACUGAAUCAUUAUUUUACUGCACAGUUCUUUUUUCUUUUCAAUUAUAUUCUGAAAUUGCGUUCACCAUGGCCUUGAAAAGCUCUUAAAAACUCUUCAACACCAAGAUGGAAGCACCUAUCUGUGCGAGCAGAUGUUUUCAAUCAUGAAUCUAAACAAGACCAAGAACAGAUCACACAUCACUGAUGACAACCUCCAUGCUGUUCUACGGAUUGCCUCUGCACAAGACCUAAAACCAGACAUUGAUACACUUGCCAUGGAAAAAAGGUGUCAGAUAUCUGGUCAGAAAAGACAUAGAACAUGAUCAAUGGAUGAGGAUGGUGGAGAGGGGAUCCAUGUGGUGUGAUAAAGGACAGGCAGCAUCUCCUCAUCAACUUCACCUUAAAACUUGACCAAUAUAGUUGUGAACUGAGACAACCCUUGUGUUAUUUUGAG